GUGAACGCUAGCGGCGCGCCUAACACAUGCAAGUCGAGUGGGUUUAGACCCACGGCAAACGGCUGCGUAACACGUUGGAACCUUCCCCGGAUUCAGGGAUAACCCCGCGAAAGCGGGGCUAAUACCGGAUGGUCUCGCAAGAGUAAAGCUUUCGCGAUCCGGGAGGGGCCUGCGGCCUAUCAGCUCGUUGGUGAGGUAACGGCUCACCAAGGCAAUGACGGGUAGCUGAUCUGAGAGGAUGAUCAGCCAGAAUGGAACUGCGACACGGUCCAUACUCCUACGGGAGGCAGCAGUGAGGAAUCUUCCGCAAUGGACGAAAGUCUGACGGAGCGACGCCGCGUGGUGGAUGAAGGCCUUCACUGGUCGUAAACACCUGUUCUGAGGGACGAAAUUUUUGACGGUACCUCAGGAGAAAGUAUCGGCAAACCCUGU
rnacentral:rRNA from 1 species